UGCAUCCAGUUGCCAUCGGGCGAGCCGGGCACUCUGGAGGGACUGCCGGCGGACAAGCCGGAGGAAGGUGGGGAUGACGUCAAGUCAUCAUGGCCCUUAUGUCCAGGGCGACACACGUGCUACAAUGGCCGGCACAGCGGGAAGCGGAGGGGCGACCCUGAGCGGACCCCUUGAAAGCCGGUCCCAGUUCGGAUUGCAGUCUGCAACUCGACUGCAUGAAGUUGGAAUCGCUAGUAAUCGCGGAUCAGCCAAGCCGCGGUGAAUACGUUCCCGGGCCUU
rnacentral:rRNA from 1 species